UACGAAGGGGGCUAGCGUUGCUCGGAAUCACUGGGCGUAAAGCGCACGUAGGCGGAUCUUUAAGUCAGGGGUGAAAUCCCAAGGCUCAACCUUGGAACUGCCUUUGAUACUGGGGAUCUCGAGUCCGGAAGAGGUUGGUGGAACUGCGAGUGUAGAGGUGAAAUUCGUAGAUAUUCGCAAGAACACCGGUGGCGAAGGCGGCCAACUGGACCAUUACUGACGCUGAGGCGCGAAAGCGUGGGAGCAAACAGG
rnacentral:rRNA from 1 species